rfam:Myotis brandtii contig170865, whole genome shotgun sequence.
GGGGAUGAUGACCCCAGGUGACUCUGAGUGUCUCUCUGACGCCAUCACCGCAGCGCGCUGACC